GACGUAGGGCGCGAGCGUUGUCCGGAUUAUUGGGCGGUAAAGAGCUCGUAGGCGGCUUGUCGCGUCGUCCGUGAAAACUUGGGGCUCAACCCCAAGCUUGCGGUCGAUACGGGCAGGCUAGAGUUCGGUAGGGGAGACUGGAAUUCCUGGUGUAGCGGUGAAAUGCGCAGAUAUCAGGAGGAACACCGGUGGCGAAGGCGGGUCUCUGGGCCGAUACUGACGCUGAGGAGCGAAAGCGUGGGGAGCGAACAGG
rnacentral:rRNA from 1 species